AGCGUUUACUGGCGAUUCUUCUUUAUGGGUGCCUUGGGAAGCUCUGUGAAAAUGUUUAUAAAUUUGAUUUUCUGUAGUUUGUAUAUUUCCUACAGAAGUCAGGAGUGUGUUUUAUGAAUUAUCUUUUAUAAUAAACCAGUAUUUUGGUGACAAAAAUAUCUGUUUGUCUUUCAUAAUGGAAUCAUCUCUUUAUACAUGAUUAUCAUUCAGUUAAAUGGAUCUUGGGAGUUGUUCUUGAUACUUUAAUGCUUUAUUAUGUAACAGAUCAUCACACGAUCUAUCUGGCCACGUGGUGCUUUGAAAUCUCCGCGAGCUCCAGUUGCAAGCUAUUACAGCAGGCUUUGAGAGUGGAGAAAAGAAAAGGGGAUGGGCAGUGUUCACACCAUGCAACGCUAUUCUCCAGCCAGCCUCGCUUUAUGCGACGCAAGAGUGACGCCAUUUCAUCUCGCACCGGCUCCUGCAAGCAUCGUGAAAAGGGCCUGAACCUUUACAUUACAUUACUAAAAUGGUAAAAAUCUUUGUUGGGAACCUUUCGCCGAAUACUACGGCUGAGGAGAUCCGCUCCCUCUUCUCUCAGUAUGGCAAAAUAUCUGAGUGUGACAUUGUGAAAAACUUUGGCUUUGUGCACAUGGAUGACAAAGCAGAGGCAGAUGAAGCCAUUCGAAAUCUUCACCAUUACAUGCUGAACGGUUUGGCCAUGAAUGUGGAGAUGAGCAAAGGGAAGCCCAAGACCUCUACAAAACUUCACGUCGGAAACAUCAGCAGUAGCUGCACCAACCAAGAACUCAGGGCCAAGUUUGAGGAGUAUGGACCUGUGGUUGAGUGUGACAUAGUGAAAGACUAUGCAUUUGUUCACAUGGAGCGAGUGGAAGAUGCUAUGGAGGCCAUCAGUGGCUUGGACAACACAGCCUUUCAAGGCAAACUGAUGAGCGUGAAGCUUUCGACUAGCCGCCUGCGUACUGCGCCGGGAAUGGGAGAGAGAACGGGUUGUUAUCGGUGCGGGCAGGAAGGCCACUGGUCCAAAGAAUGCCCAAUGGACCAGAACGGCUCCUACAGAGAGGGCCCAGGCUCGGCAGGAUAUGGGCCCCUCAGGUUCGGUGCGGGUGGCGAACGUGGUGGCCGGGGGUUUCAUCGUGGCUACAGUGGCGAGCCGGCCUUCGGUGGCAACUUUUCACAUGGCUUCUCCAGGGGAGCAGGGUACGGCGUCCCAGGGUAUGGAAGGGGCGCGGGUUUUGAGAGCGCAGUGAGUUACGGUAUGCCAGCGGGCUACGGCAUUGGCGCGGAUAAUAGCAUGGCCCCCGCGUAUGGCAGUGAGGCUGCGUAUGGGAGCAGUGGCGUGGCCUAUGGCGGUGCGAUGCCUGCGUACCCAAUGCGGCGACCGCCCUAUGAGGAAAGAGAUCCGUACGGGGUGGUGGACUUCUACGAGAAAUAUCGGGCACGUCCGUACGGAGCAAGUUAUUUCGAAGAUAGACGCGCGGUUCCACCUCCUGUCCCUCCUCCCCCAUCCUCCUCGGCGGUCGUGAGAGAGCGCCUGUCCUCCUCUAACCAUGACCCAUAUGAGCGCCAUCCCCUUCCCCCUCCUCCGGCUCCCACCUCUUCAUACUAUGUCCGCGAGCGGAGCCCGAUCCGGCGAGCUCCCCUAGAGGCGGAGGGAUAUGCGUACGAACGGUCGCGCCUCUCUCCUGUCUCUUCGCUUCCCAGGAGCUCUGCGUAUGACGUACCGCGGGAUCCAUAUGCCGCUACGCGCUAUGCUUACUAGCCUAAUACCUGUGCGCACUCAGGUGAGAUCUUUUUAGGUUUACAAAAGGUUAGAGCUAAGUUUGAUCAAACGGAAAGCAGUUUUAGGGGGAUUAUUGUUAAAGGGAAAUUGGUUCCACACCAAUAAAUGAAAAUUCUGGCAUCAUUUGCUCAACCUCAACUUCUUUUGUGAUCCAUAGGGAGAAGGUCACACAGGUUUGGAACGACAUGAGGGUUUUUCUUGGUUGCUCAUGGAUCAUUUUAGAGGUUGUGAUGCAUCCUGUUUUGCCUGGGUCAAGGACAGUACAGAUGGCCCACUUCCUGGCACUAAACUCCUUUUGUCGUCUUAACAAACUUGAUGUAGCUGUUUUUUUUAUUUGAUUGUCAAUACAAAUGUGUAAAUAUUUUCUUCUCGUUAAUAAAAGUUAAAACAAAA